rnacentral:rRNA from 1 species
AUUGAACGCUGGCGGCAUGCCUUACACAUGCAAGUCGAACGGUAGAGGGGGCAACCCCUUGAGAGUGGCGAACGGGUGAGUAAUGCAUCGGAACGUGCCCAGUUGUGGGGGAUAACACUUCGAAAGAAGUGCUAAUACCGCAUACGACCUGAGGGUGAAAGGGGGGGAUCGAAAGACCUCUCGUAAUUGGAGCGGCCGAUGUCAGAUUAGGUAGUUGGUGGGGUAAAGGCCUACCAAGCCGACGAUCUGUAGCUGGUCUGAGAGGACGACCAGCCACACUGGGACUGAGACACGGCCCAGACUCCUACGGGAGGCAGCAGUGGGGAAUUUUGGACAAUGGACGCAAGUCUGAUCCAGCCAUGCCGCGUGCAGGAAGAAGGCCUUCGGGUUGUAAACUGCUUUUGUCAGGGAAGAAAUCCUCUGGGCUAAUAACCUGGGGGGAUGACGGUACCUGAAGAAUAAGCACCGGCUAACUACGUGCCAGCAGCCGCCGUAAGAC